rnacentral:rRNA from 1 species
UCCAGACUCCUACGGGAGGCAGCAGUGGGGAAUAUUGGGCAAUGGGCGCAAGCCUGACCCAGCAACGCCGCGUGAAGGAAGAAGGCUUUCGGGUUGUAAACUUCUUUUAAGGGGGACGAACAAAUGACGGUACCCCUUGAAUAAGCCACGGCUAACUACGUGCCAGCAGCCGCGGUAAUACGUAGGUGGCAAGCGUUAUCCGGAUUUAUUGGGUGUAAAGGGCGUGUAGGCGGGAGCGCAAGUCAGAUGUGAAAACUCAGGGCUCAACCCUGAGCCUGCAUUUGAAACUGUGUUUCUUGAGUGCUGGAGAGGCAAUCGGAAUUCCGUGUGUAGCGGUGAAAUGCGUAGAUAUACGGAGGAACACCAGUGGCGAAGGCGGUCUGCUGGACAGCAACUGACGCUGAGGCGCGAAAGCGUGGGGAGCAAACAGGAUUAGAUACCCUCGUAC